CCUCCUGCCAUUUUCGGAGAAGGAAAGAAAUCAGAGACGUACAUUUAUUUAUGCACAAGGAUCCUAAAGUAAUGGCAGUAGUAGUUCGAGCUUAGCUGGAGCAUGCGGGAUUACCGGUGGUCAAACCCCUUCUCGUCGCCGGAAAUUGGUCUCCAUCACUCCCUGACUUCGAUCUCUCUUUCGGGUCGUUCACCAUUUCUAUUGCUGCUUCGUUUUUUCUGCUGGGUAUUUUACAGAGUGUGGGUGUGGGUGCGUGUGAGAGAGACACAGAGAGAGAGGAUGUGCGUGAGAGAGAGAGAGAGAUUGAAUAUUAGAACUGCCCCUCUUUUUGCUUGCGUGUUGUGAUGCAAAAUUAGCGCAUUCGUGUCAGAGAGAGCGAGAAAUAAAAAUGGAGAUGGGGGGGUUGUGCUUGAGAGUCUUGACCAGUCGCGUCUCUCUCUAGAAUUAUUUCCUUUCAAUACUUUACUUUUUUUUUUGCCCGUCUCUGCCUCUCUCGCUCCCCCCCCUUUGUCAACCGAAGAGAAACUGGAGAAAUCUUAGAGAGAGAGAGAGAGAGAGUAGGUGGAGAGAGGGAGAGGUAGAGCCGCAAAGAAGAGGAGAGAAGCAAAGGGAAGACGGUGACGCAGAUUUUUCACCUACUGCUCUCUUUGAAGGCUGAAAAGGGCUUUGGCUUUUGCUUUGUGAUCGAGGUAAGCAAGUUCUCCGAGAAGGCAAACGCAUUUGGCAUCAAUCCGUGAACAAGUUUCAUUUUAGUUUGCGACAGAAAAAGGGCACUUCUUGGUUGGGGAGAAAAAUAAAGAUGAGGUGAUGAUGGUUAAAUUAUCAGAUCAAUGUUGUUUGUAAAGCAUGAAGAAGCAUAGGAGUGAAGUGCCGUUGUUUCUCUUGCUUCUGGUGUUAUUGUUUAGCGAGCUGACGAUACAGCAGCAGCAGCCGCUGAGUUCGCGCACCGAGCGUGUUGCUCUGCUUCAACUCAGAUCUUCUUUGGGGAUUCGAAGCAGGGAGUGGCCCAGGAAGGCGGACCCUUGCUCCUUGUGGCAAGGUGUAAAAUGCGAGAAUGGUAGAGUCACAGAGAUCAACAUUUCCGGGUUUAGGAGGACUAGAGUUGGUAGCCAGAAUCCGCAGUUCUCCGUUGAUGCGCUCGCCAAUUUCACUCUGUUAACGUCCUUCAAUGCCUCCAGGUUCUCUCUCCCCGGUCAAAUACCCGACUGGUUCGGACAGCAGCUCGGGUCGCUGCAAGUGCUUGAUCUCAGGUCUUGUGGGAUAAUUGGCAUUGUGCCCCCCAGUGUUGGUAACCUGACCAAUCUCACUAGCCUGUAUUUAGCUGAUAAUAUAUUGAAUGGUACGAUUCCAUUGAGUUUGGGCGAAUUGUCGCACCUUUCAGUCCUUGACCUUUCGAGCAAUGCGCUCGAUGGAUCUAUUCCUUCAUCCUUAACAUCUCUUAAGAAUCUCUCCACUCUCGACAUUUCUUCCAACUCCUUGUCCGGGUCGAUUCCUCUGGGCUUCGGAAACCUCUCAGGCCUUCGGCAUUUGAAUCUUUCGGGCAAUGAAUUGUCUGGUUCACUACCUGUGCAGCUUGGGGACCUGGGGAAUUUGGUUGACUUGGAUCUCAGUUUCAAUAAUAUAUCUGGGUCGGUGCCAUCAGAUUUGAGAGGACUCAGAAGUUUACAGAGAAUGUUAUUAGGUAACAAUCUACUCGGUGGGCCUUUGCGAGAUGACUUGUUUUCUAAUCCCAGUCAGUUGCAGGUUGUUGUCUUGAGACAUAAUUCCUUCAAUGGUUCUCUCCCCAGAUUGUUGUGGUCAAUGCCCGGACUGGCUCUGCUGGAUAUCUCUAGCAAUAAUUUCACAGGUGUUUUGCCAGACACAGGGUCGAAUUCCACUGCUGCAGUGUUAAAUAUUUCUCAGAAUUUGUUCUACGGUAAUCUUACACAGCUCUUAGUGGGGUUUGGCUUUAUUGAUCUGUCGAAAAAUUAUUUCGAGGGCAAGGUUCCUGAUUUUGCCAUAACUAAGUCAUCUCUUGGCAACAAUUGCCUCCAAAAUGUAUCCGAUCAAAGAACCGCGGUUGAGUGUGCAUCAUUUUAUGCUGAGAGAGGUCUAGUUUUUGAUAAUUUUGGACUGCCAAAUGGCAACCCUCCUUCUCCUGCUCCUGCUUCUGCUCCAGAAACUAAAAAGAAAAGCAAGAGGAAGUUAAUUAUUUUGGUAGGAGUUUUGGGUGGGCUUGGCCUUGUGGCUCUUCUGUUUGUGCUUCUUGCUUUGUUGCUUUUCUGCACCCGUAAGAGGGGAUCUGCGAAUCAGAUAGCAAUUGGUGUUGGGCCAGCUUCAACUGGUGGAACGCCACUGCCGUCUGGUGCAUCGGUUGACUUCUCAAACAUAGGCGAUGCAUAUACAUAUCAGCAGCUGCUCUUAGCCACAAAUGAGUUUAAUGACUCAAACCUCAUUAAACACGGACACUCAGGGGAUCUCUUCAGGGGCAUCCUGGAUGGGGGGAUUCCUGUUGUCAUUAAAAAGGUUGACCUAUGUUCGAUCAAAAAGGAAGUUCACCUUGUCGAAUUGGAUUUCUUUGGUAAGGUUUCGCAUGGAAGGUUUGUACCAUUUUUGGGACACUUCCUGGAGAGGGAGAAUGAGAAGUUCCUGGUUUACAAAUAUAUGCCUAACGAAGACUUGGCAAGUUCUUUAUUUAGGAAAACCAGCUCAGAGGACGAUAGUUUGCAAUCUCUGGACUGGAUUAAGAGACUAAAGGUUGCAGUAGGAGCUGCAGAGGGUCUAUCUUAUCUUCAUCAUGAAUGUACUCCCCCUCUUGUGCACAGGGAUGUUCAAGCGAGUAGUAUACUUCUUGAUGAUAAAUACGAAGUGCGUCUGGGAAGCCUCAGUGAGGUCUGUGCUCAAGAAGGGGAUACUCAUCAUAGCAGAUUCUCUAGGUUACUGCGCUUGCAACAGUCAUUGGAGCAAGGUACUUCUGAUUCUUCUACAGCAAAUUGUGCGUACGACGUGUAUUGCUUUGGGAAAGUUUUGCUGGAGCUGGUGACGGGUAAGUUGGGUCUCAGCGCAUCCAGUGAUACUGAGACGAAGGAGUGGUUGGAACAAACGUUACCUUAUAUCAACAUAUACGACAAGGAGCUGGUCACAAAGAUUGUGGAUCCAUUGCUCAUCGUGGAUGAGGAUUUGCUGGAGGAAGUGUGGGCCAUGGCGAUCGUGGCGAGAUCCUGCCUCAAUCCGAAGCCAUCCCGGCGUCCACCCAUGAGAUAUGUAGUAAAGGCUUUAGAGAAUCCCCUGAAGAUCGUAAGAGAAGAAAACUAUGGCUCUGGAAGGUUGAGGACUACCUCUUCUAGAGGGUCGUGGAACGCCACUCUGUUCGGUAGCUGGCGGCACAGCUCAUCGGAUGUGGCAGUUAUUCCAACUUCCUCUGCUGCCAAGGCGGAAGGAACGAGCAGCUUUAAGCAGUCGGGGACCACAGGUUCACAGGGGAGUAAUCAUAACGGUUCAUCCUCGCGCAGACGUCAUUCUAAGGAUAUAUUCCCCGAACCAUCUGAUGUACAGGAUGUAGAGAGACAAGAUCAAGAAUAGAGGGGGGAGAGGUUGAUUUUUCUUCAUUAUUCUUUGGCAAUAAAAUGCGGGCUUCCCAUUCGAGUGCCCGGUUCUUCCAGUAAAAAUCGGUAUCGCUUUCUGGAGGGGAAAAGGGGGUUCCAAGCAAAGCAAUUCUUUUAUCUGCUCGAGCAAUCGGCUUGAGAAACUAAGAGAAUCCUAAGCUGAGGAGCAGAAGUUGCAGAAAUUGAAUGAAUCCGGUAGCUUGUGGUGUAGCUAUUUUUAAAAGUGUCGACGGAUCAGAAUAGUUGAAAUAGUGCGGACAACAAACUUCUGAUUCGUUCGGUCAUCGUUCGUGGUCCUUUGGUGGUUCUCGAAAUGUAAAUCGUAAUUCUUUUGGCGUUUUCAUUUUCAUUUUUUGGAGGUAUCUUGUUUGGUGCAACUCAGAGAGUUUCAGCUUGGUUGGAAGGAAACAUGAGGAAUCCAUAGGAUGUGAUUUUGCUACAGAAACUUGGUUUCGCAUGGUUCAUG